CCCGGCCCACGGGGCAGCCGAGAAGCUCACUUGCACUCCGGGACGCAGCGGCGGGCGGACUGAGCCCGCGGAGCACGUUCACUGACGGACCAGGGAGGGGUCCGCGCCAAGACCCGCCUCCGGACCAGGCCCCACCUCCUGAGCCAGGCCCCCGCCCCCGAUUCUGACUCCGCCCUCUCUGUUCUUCGGUGGAGACUCCGGGAAAAACCUGCCUCCCAGUCUGCCCUCUCUCCGUCUGUCUGUGCUUGUUUUUCUACGUUUAUCCCUGUCGCUUUCCCCACUUAUUCUGCAGGCAUGGCGCGCCCCCAGUGCCGGCUCGGUGCCAGGGCUGGGAGAUCCGGGGGUGAAUCGUGAGCCCGGCCCACAGCGAGCUUGCAGUCUAGAGAUCAAGGCAGUCUUGUCCACAACCUGCUGUCACACAAAGCAGAUGUAGCUGGUGUAGCACCAGGGGCUGCAAUCAAGUGCGGUGGGGCGGCAAUAGUGACCACGGAAAUAAUCAGAAUUGCUUUUAAUUCAGCUCCUACUAUAUUCCCGUCAUCCCUGAGCCUCACAAUCAUCCUCCAAGGUAGGUAUUUUUGUCUUUCUCUAACAGAUGAAAACUCUGAGUUUCAGAAGAAUUAAAUGACAUCCUCCCAAAAGAGAGACAGUAUAAGAAUCCAAGUCAACCUGAGUCCAAAACCAGUGGCUCUUACACUGUGUGGCUUUAUGGACGACAUGGAGUUUAAGUUUACCUUCAAGGAUGAGCAACACUUUUCUUCAAGCAGAAAAAGAAGGGAAUGGGUGAACAAGGUCCCAGGAUGUUCGCUUUGGCAGAUGAUUAGAAUACGUGCUGACUUGAUAGCCGCAACUGUCCUGAUAAGAAAGUACGCCGGCCUGGCUGGGCGUGGUGGCUUACGCCUGUAAUCCGAGGAUUUUGGGAGGCCGAGGCGGGUGGAUCACUUGAUGUCAGGAGUUUGAGACCAGCCUGUCCAACAUGGUGAAACCCCGUCUGUACUAAAAAUACAAUAAUUAGCCGAGCAUGAUGGCAUGUGCCUGUAAUCCCAGCUACUCAGGAGGCUGAGGCACGAGAAUCGCUUGAACCUGGAAGGCAGAGGUUGCAGUUACUUUCCCGACAUUGCACCACUGCACUCCAGCCUUGGCGACAAGAGCGAAAUUUUGUCUCAAAAAAGAAAGAAAGAAAGCACUCAGGCCUGACUGAGGACCACAGCAGUGGACAUGGAGGGAGGAGGCUGGGGGUAGUUGAAUUGGUAUGAUAUGUCACUGAGUAAACGAAGGAAGGGACAGAAAGAGAACUCCAAAGUGUCAAAAGCCUGGACAACAGACAGAAAGCAUCCUUGUCAUAUCAUUUAAAGCACCUGUUGGGCCAAAUAGGGAGCACCUUUCAGAAUCCAUGUGCACAAGAUCUCAGCAAUUCUACAUCCAAGAAUGUAACCUACAUCCAAGAAUGUACUGGAAUUUAAUUCCACAUCCAAGAAUCCCCAUAGGUAGCAAAGAUGUAUAUUUAAGGGUAUUCUCUCAGCUUUGUUUUUAUGUUAGGAGAUUGGGAACAACCUAAAUGCCCAUCAGCUGGUGACUUGCUAGGUUAACUAUUCACAAAUGGAAUACUAGGUAGCCUCCUAAAAGAGGAAAGCAAUUCUACAUAUCCUGAUACAGUGUGGUCACCAGAUAGAUGGCUAAGAUACAAAUAAAACAAACAAGUUGCAGUGUUAGAGUAUGCUAUGUAUCACUCCUUUUUAAGGACAAAAAGAGGAUAUACUUUAACUUUUUAAGAUACCAAAGUAUUUAUUUAUUUAAAAUUUUUUUUCACAGAAUUGUUAUAGCAUGUAGAACCAAAAAUUAUUUACAAAUGAAAUUAUUCAAUGUCUGAGAUUUGUGUCAAAAUAAUGGUAUGGGGGUUUAGUGAGUAAGCAUGUAGGUAGAACAAGAUUGUCCAUGAGCUGAUAGUUGUUGAAGCUGGGUGAUCACCUGGGUGUUUUAUACUAUUUGGGUGUUAAACUAUUUUUUUUUUCUAUUCUUGUGUAUGUGUCAAAUUUCCACUUAAGAAAAUGGGGGAAAAUGGUGUCAGCCCUCCAUUCCAGCUGAACACACCAUGUUAGUUCAUGCCCCAUCACACCACUCUUCUAGCCAUCUGUCAAUCUUCUCUGCCUGGCAAAUUUCUACUCUUUCAUCAGGACCCAGGAUAAUUAUCACCUUCUCUGAGAGGGCUUUUCCAACCCCUAUAGUCAGAAGCAUUCUUUCUCUAUGCUUGGGGCCCGCUGAGAAAUGUCUCUAAUCCUGUCGCAAAUACAUAUUCCAGUGUCAUUAUCCAUCUCCCUAGUAGACAGUGAACAUUUCCAUCAAUGAGACAAUGUCUCAACUAUCUUCUUUCUGUCUCAACCCUUAACGCUGGCACUUAAUAAUUGUUUGUUAAAUUCAUGGGUCAGGUCUAGUGAAGACAAUGAUUACUGGUUUGGUUUGGUACAUACUGACCUUGAGAAGUCAAAGGGAUAUAGGAGGAGAGAAAGUGAAUGAGGAACUGAUGUUACUGAGCCUGUGCUAGGAGACUGCUGGGGCAAGGAAUAGAGUGAGGAGAAAGGAGGCAAGGCUCCUGCUGGCAAGGACCUCACUUUCAUUUCAGCUGGGGAAGAGCAUGGAAAGAUGUCAUUCUAGAGCAUGGUAAGUGCCAUGGAUGAAAUAGACAAGGCAAAACUUAUUCCACUUCAGCAAAGCGAGUGUCAAUAUUCUACUUAUGGAUGAGUGGAUGAACACAUGUACAGAUGAAAUCACUUGUGCAAAGUUUACAGCUGUUAGUGCUGAACAGGAACAAGCCUUUGUCUGCCAUCACGUGAGGCCAUGCUUUUUCCUCUGCCCUUCACUGCCAUUCGACAUGCAGGUGACACUCUGGAGCUCGGACCGAACAUUCAGAUUUGGAGGUCAUUCUACAGGAGACAGUUGAAAUGAGGGCAGGGGAGAAGGUCUCCUAGAAACCACAAGAGAGGGAAAGUAACAGCAGCUGACUUUCACUGAGUACUUAGUACACUCCAGACCCCAUACUAAGCAUUUUUAUUUUUUUGAGAUGGAGUCUCACUCUGUUGCCCCGGCUGGAGUGCAGUGGUGCAAUCUCGGCUCACUGCAACCUCCUCUUCUUGGGUUCAAGCGAUUCUCCUGCCUCAGCCUCCCAAGUAGCUGGGACUACAGGUGUGGGCCACCACGCCCAGCUAAUUUUUUGUAUUUUUAGUAGAGACAGCAUUUCAUCGUGUUAGUCAGGAUGGUCUUGAUCUCCUGACCUCAGGAUCUGCCCGCCUCAGUCUCCCAAAGUGCUGGGAUUACAGGCAUGAGCCACCGCACCUGGCCCAUACUAAGCCUUUUACACUUUUAAAAGUAAAAGUGAAAUCACUUUGCACAAGUGAUUUCAUCUGAACAUGUGUUCAUCCACUCAUCCGUAAGUAGAAUAUUGACACUUGCUUUGCUGAAGUGGAAUAAGUUUUGCCUUGUCAAUUUAUUUAUUUAUUUAUUUAUUUAUUUAUUUAUUCUAUUAUAUAUUUAUUUAUUCCAUAUAACAACCCUCAUUAAGUAGGAACUCUUUUUUGAGGGACAGGGUAUUACUAUGUUGCCCAGGCUAGUCUUGAACUUCUGGCCUGUGGUGUUCCUCCUGCCUUGGCCCCACAAAGUGCUGAGAUUACAGGCUUCAGCCACCAUGCCCAGUCUAAAGUAGGAACUCUUAACAGUCCCACAUUUAUAGCCUGGGAAAAUGAAGCUUCGGAAGAAUGAAGUCAACAGAGCAACAGAGGUCACACACCUCGCAAACAGCAGAGCCCAAAUGUCUUACCAUGCACUACCCUUUUGAGAAAGAAGACUGAAAUCAGGAGCCUGGUAAGGAAAUGGUGGAAACAGUGAAAGAGAACAAGAUGCACUCUUUCAUUUGUGAGAUGAGAAACAGAAAAAAAGAAAUGUCCUGAGAGCCCGAGAAAGACUGUUAGGAAAGCAACUGGGGCAAGUGUCAGAGUCCAUGGAGAAACCCAGCAGGGAAACCUGAGGGUCAUGGCAACUGGCCAACACGAGGCGAUAAGGGACCUUUGACGGAGCUAUUUUGGGUGGUGCUAACCUUCUUUGCUACAGGCUCACAACUGGAGCAUCUGCUUGCUUCCUCUGACCUGCCCCCUGGACUCAUGUUGUCAUUCUUCUCACUCAACCUGUCUGCCUAGGGAAGAAGCCCUGGACUGUGUUUCCCCAAUCUCAGCAUUCCCAACCCUCCUGGCCCCCAACCCAGUACCUGCAGAGCUGACUCUAACCACCCAGUGCACCUCCCGCAGGCUGCAGCAGCCCCCAUCGAGGCCACUCAUUUACAGCACAGGCCCACACAGUCUGACAAAGGACAGCUGCAAUCCUCUGUCAACUGCAGUCCUUUCCCAGGCACAUGCUGGAUUGGGAAACAGGUGGGAGAAAAGAACAGGUAAGAGGUUCCUGUGGGAGUGAGUUAGCCUGGCAUUUACUGUGCCUCUUUGUGAAGAGCAGCCAACCUUUUCUGGCUUAAUCAGACUUGCCUAGAGCACUUGAAAAGAGUAGCUCUGAAGUCCAUGUGAUUUUGCUUCCCCACCCCCACCCCAACCAUGACUGAUUGGAACUGGAUAGAUGUCUUCCUCAGGAGGAGGAGCCAAGGGCUGUUUCCUGUCCCUGGACUUUGGAAUUGGGCCACCUAGUCAGUGAGUGGCCAAGAACCCAAUGAGGCUGCCCCAUGAAGGGAGCUGAGCUCAGUCAAAGAGAUCCAUGGCAGAGCACUAGGGUUAAUAAAGGCCCACGAACUCUUGUUGCUGAAGGCUCUAGGGCUGCCCCAUCCCUGCCCUUCCUGAGAUUUGGUGGAUCACCUCUUCCUGGGUUUCCACAAGUCCUCUCUCUCUCUCAAUAACCUAUUAAAUUGGGGUGUGAGCGGAUUCCUGUCCCUUGCAUCCAAAGUCUCCUUAGCUAUGAUGGAGUUCUAUAGGAAUGAGAGCAAGGGGCAGGGGUCCAAGGGUAGGAGGUUCUAAGUUUAGGACUUUAGAAAUAACAUUGUUAAGUGUGUUGAUGUCUAGGUCAGAAUGGAGGUGAUUCCUCCAUUCUUUGGAGGACACUUGAGGUGUCCUUCUUUCUUCAUCCACUAUCUAGUCCCAGCAGCCGCACUCUUAGCUGUCAGUCCAUCCCCAUCUCCUCCAGCUCCUCCAUGCUUCAACAGCACUUUAGAGAAGGCAGAGGGCCAGCAUGUGGCUUUCUUGCCUUCCCUGAGCAAACAGCCCGAGAGAGAAGCUGGUGUUGAUAGAGAGAGGCUCUCUUAUUGCAAAUUAGAUAAGCCCAAAUGUAAAAGCAUAUUCACAUUUAUCAAACAUCUCAUAGAUGUGGCACCUAUGGGAUUUCAAAAAACCCUUCAUAGAUAUUUGCCUCCCAAACCCACACAGCAGCCCCAUGAGGUAGACGUCAGUUUCGUUCCCUUCUACGUGUGGGAACUGGAGGAAUGUGACACGGAGAAUGCAGAGUUGAGUCCACGGUGAGGCCUCCAGUCCGUCCUUCCCUUGAAGAUGCUUGACCCGCAGCCGCGAUGGGCAGAACCACCCGCAUGACAGGCAGCAGAAUUGACAGGUCAGAACAAACGAGGCCCCAGGACACAGCAGACACAGCGCUGGGCUGCUGCGAGCCUGGCUAUUUCUGACUUGCCCUAGUUAGGGGCUCCCUUCCCAGGAUCGUUUUAUAAUCACAAGGUUGUUUGAUGUACGAUGUGACAUCCAUAGGACGCUACUGAAAAAAGCCUUGGUUUUUUUCAUACUUUUUCUGCCUUGCAGAAAAGGUGAGGUGAAGUUUUCAAACAGCCUGUGGUUGUAGCUUUCUUUCUAUUAUUGAUGGCCAUGUGUCCUGGCAACAGUUACAACUGCAACUCUGGGCAAAAAAUAGGUUGGAAGACUGUUUCAACGUUUUCUAUCAGGACAAGAUCAUACCGACACAGCUGAGGCCUGGGAAAAUAAGACAAAAUAUCCUUGUCAAUGAAUUUAUAAAAAUGCAAUGGUCUAGUAAAUAAUAUUAUAUCCUUAAGAUACAAAAUUAUUUAGCAAUUGUUUUUAAUAUAGAGAACACUUACGGUGGCCAGGCGCGGUGACUCACGCCUGUAAUCCCACCCAGCACUUUAAGAGGCCGAGGCGGGCGGAUACUUGAGGCCAGGAGUUCAAGACCAGCCUGGCCAACAUGGCUACACCCCGUCUCUACUAAAAAUACAAAAAUUAGCUGGGCAUGGUAGUGCGUGUCUGUGGUUCCAGCUACUCAGGAGGCUAAGGCAGUACUAGAGCCCAGGAGGUGGAGGUUGCAGUGAGCUGAGAUCACGCCAUUGCACUCUAGCCUGGGUGACAGAAUGAGACUCUGUCUCAGAAAAAAAAAGAAAGAAAAUGCUUAUGGUAAGUAAAACACCAAGGAGAAAGCAAGAUAUAUGGCCAGGCACGGUGGUUCAUGCUUGUAAUCCCAGCACUUUGGGAGGCCAAGGCAGGUGGAUCACCUGAGGCCAGGAGUUGGAGACCAGCCUGACCAACAUGGUGAAACACUGUCUCUACUAAAAAUACAAAAAAUUAGCUGGGCGUGGUCACGUGUGCCUGUAAUCCCAGCUACUUCGGAGGCUGAAGCAGGAGAAUUGCUUGAACCCAGGAGGUGGAGGUUGCAGUGAGCCAAGAUCGCACUACUACUGUACUCCAGCCUGGGUGACAGAGCGAGACUCCGUACCAAAAAAGAAAGAAAGAUGUAAAAUUGUAUUUACCAUAUAACUUUAGCUUUAAAAACAAUAAAAGAAAGGAAGAUUAUAUAGAAAUAACAAUAAAUAUUAACAGUGGUUGCCUCUGAAUAAUGACAAUAUGGGUGAUAUUUUUCUGUUUCCUAACAAUUUCUGUACUUUCUAGAUUUUGUCAAAUAAACAUAUAUUGUCUGAUAUUCAGGGCAAAAAAAGUAUUAAAAAGUUUUAGGAUGUAAUGACUAUCCUCUUAGGAGAAACUUGUACUAUUAAAUGUUUUAAGGUACCCUAAACUUUCUUUUUUUGUUUUCUUUUUUUUUGAGACAGGGUCUCACUCUGUCACCCAGGCUGGAGUGCAGUGGUGCGAUCUCGGCUCACCGCAACUUCCGCCUCCCAGGGUUCACACUGUUGCCCAGGCUGGAGUGUAGUAACCUCCCAAGAACUAGUCAACUUUGAUGGGCAAAGUCUGCUGACUCCAAAGGGCUAUGGGACACUCUUUAGGAGCCUGGCGGUGUCACUGGCCCACAAGGAAAGGAGCGUUACCAUCAGUGUCGGAAUGGAUGACAUCAACAAACUGCGCAUCACUGGGAUCUAAUCUGUCUUGGUGAGGUUUCCCGUUGAAUAAAG